rnacentral:SRP_RNA from 1 species
GACGGGCCGCCUCGCAUCGCGGCGCGGUGAACUUGGUCAGGUCGGGAACGGAGCAGCCACAGCCGUUUACCGUGAGUGCCGGGGGAACGGCUCGUCACCCCAACA